rnacentral:misc_RNA from 1 species
UGGGCUUGACAUGUCCGUGACAGGUGUGGAAACACACCCUCCCUUCGGGGCACGGUCACAGGUGGUGCAUGGCUGUCGUCAGCUCGUGUCGUGAGAUGUUGGGUUAAGUCCCGCAACGAGCGCAACCCCCGUCGCAUGUUGCCAGCAUUUAGUUGGGGGCUCACGCCAGACUGCCGGUGACAAACCGGAGGAAGGUGGGGAUGACGUCGAAUACGUAAC